rnacentral:misc_RNA from 1 species
GCCCCCACUCGAUCUCGCUUUAGAUUCUUCAAUUCCAUAAGCAGGUAAAGGAACAUAUCACCCAGACCCAGUUCUAUAAUUUCCAUCACUACUCCAAGAAACCAGAUAUGGAUUAGAUUUACCUUACUUAUGCCCUAUAGGAGUAAAAUUAAUGUUCAAGAAGCACACUGGAACUUUAAUUUUUGGUUUAUAAAGAUGCAGAGGAGAGAUUCAAACUUGAG